rnacentral:snRNA from 1 species
AUCGGGCGGUAAAUUCCGUC